rnacentral:rRNA from 1 species
UACGUAGGUGACCAGCGUUGUCCGGAUUUACUGGGCGUAAAGAGCGCGCAGGCGGUCGAUCAAGUCGAGUGUGAAAGCCCCCGGCUCAACUGGGGAGGGUCAUUCGAUACUGAUCGACUCGAAGGCAGGAGAGGGUAGUGGAAUUCCCGGAGUAGCGGUGAAAUGCGCAGAUAUCGGGAGGAACACCAAUGGCGAAAGCAGGUAACUGGACUAUUACUGACACUCAACUGCGAAAGCUAGGGGAGCAAACAGG